rnacentral:lncRNA from 1 species
GCUGACACUACUGCUGCUGGAUCCUGACCCCAGGAUGCAACCACCUCUCCUUUGCAGCAAUUUGCAAUCUGCUGAUUGCAAGGGACCCCAGGGAGCAAGUCGAUGACCGCUGGAGUCCUCUUGCAGCAGUGAGGUAUGUUCCCCUUGAACUUGAAGCAGUCACCUUUUUCAGUUGUCUGGGCACCCACCAAAGACCAAAUCACCUCUGUCUUUGCCCAUGUCCAUCCUAUGGUCCACCCAGGGUUCAUGAUGUGCUGGUAUAUUUGGAAAUUGUUCAUCGUCGCCACCGCCAAAGAAGUGAACAUUAGAAUCAGUAUCAGUGUCACUACAUUGCUUAUUACUAUGUCGGAUGGGUUCUUCGAUUGAAUUUCCUAUAGUAUGUUCUUGAUAUUUAUUCCUUGUUGAUUCAAAGUAGUUUGGUUUUCUUGCACUUUUUUGCUAAGCAUUGGUAUUUUCUGAUCUGAUUUCAUAAGACUAAAUUGUUGUAAAUGUUCUAAAUUAUUGCCUUAAUAGACACAAACAAGACAGGUGAUGCUUGUAGAGAUUAGUUUUUGUUAAGCCAUCUGGUAAGAUUUAAAAGUUGUUGAUAAUUGACUGAGUUUUUUUUUUUUGAUGCAAAAGUAGAAUCAGGGAGAAAAUGGUCACCACUGCAGUCUAACGGACAAUUAAUGAAAUAUUCUCAGCAUUUACUAAUUAAUCACUAAUGAUUUGAUAAGUUGAUAACAAAAUAAUAUCUAUUAUAUGUACAGUUCUUUGCAGAAAUAUUUGAAUUUCUCCAGAUUUAUUCAUGAAAUACAAGGAACUAGUGAAUAGUUGAUGAUAAUUUUGGAAUUGCUUGGAUCUUUGAUGCACAUAAAAAAAGAUAUACCAGCUAUUUUAACAUCUAUCUACUUCAAUAUUUCUGAACCAUUUGGGGACUUUUCAAUUCUUACUUUAGAUUCCAAUUUCAAAAUUUUACACUCAACAAUUUCUUCCUGAAUUCCAAACUUUUACGUUUUAAUUCUGCUUCUUGGAUGAUACAAUUCCUUCAGAAAAAAAUAUUAUCAAAUUAAUCUUAGAAUUCCACUAUGACAAUAAAACUAGAACAAUGUUCUGUCAAAAAGCAAAUUCAGAAUUCCACCGUGACCUUACCACAUAUUAAUCUGGAGUCCAUGAAAUCGCAUCCCAUUUUAUCGGGAUGUUGCCAUUUGGAUCCCAUGGAUCAUAUGCCACUAAUUGAAAAAAUACAAUGAAAGUAAUAAAUAAUAAAAAUUGAAGCAAAAAUUAAUACUUCAAAGCAUUUUGAACAAAAUUGGAUCAGAAAAAAACCUGCAUGAUUGAACAUCAUGCCACGGAGGCAAACUGACAUAACAAAUCCCAAUUUCCUGAACAAGCAGCAUGGGCACUGCCUGAUGACAAAACAUUCACUUCCCAUAAAAUUUUCUUCUUGCCUCCAGUUGCUGGGUUUGUUUAGCUCCAUUCUCACCCAAGCUAUGAGCUUUCUUACAAAUGAUUUAACAGUCUGGGAGGUCAGAGGAGGAGGAAGGGGCUUGUGGCUCCUAAAGAGAUGAAGGGAUCGAUCGGAGGAGAAAUCAUCGAUUAGAGUGAUGGCUCACCUACUGUUUUGUUGGGCACUUAAAAAAAAAAAACUCUCAUCAAUCUCUGCUACCUCCUUCUCUCUUCCUUGUCUGAUUUUCUUCUACUUUAAUUCAUCUGUUCUGAAGCUGUGUUGGUGAGAGGGAAGGAACAAAAGGAUGCGGGAAACUUGAAGGAAACCUCCCAACGGUCAGCUGAUCUGGGACAGGGACCGUUAAACACCUUAAUAAAAUAUUAACCACCAUCCCAUAUUACUCCUUUACCCCUAAACUAUUUCAAAGGCUUAAUAGUAAAAUAGAAUUACAACGAAGCCUGCUUUGCCAUUCAAUUGAUGUUUCUAAUAAGUGAUCCCAAGCAACAGGGUGGUGCAAAAGUUUACCUCAGAACUUUGACUUCACCUAAUCACCUAAUCAGAUCCAUAUCAAUUGAUUCACUUCAUGGUCGCAUACAUUGUAUGUCAUGUAUCUUAUGUUAGAUCUUUACAUGUUGUUGCACUAGAUGUUCAAUUCACCAUGGUAGAUGGUGCGAAAGUAUAUGUCAAUGAUAAAAAGAAUAAGGGUAAUUUGGCCAUCAAAGAGUGAUAAAAAAUCUUUUAUGCAAUUUUAAGGAAACUGUACUUGAUUUUUUUUCUUUUUUACUCCAGGUGAGUAAUGGAAAAUAGAAAUUUCGAAUUUCUUUACAUGGAGGUUGAUCUUGAAGGAAGAUCUUUUGUAUUUUUUAAGUUAAUAUUAUUAUAUAAUUCACAAAGGAGGUGGAAUUGGCAACAAGUAGACAGUCCCUAUCUGAAGGUUACUCCUCGAGACCAUCUAUAUCUUUCUUUCCCCCUCUCAGGUUUAGCCAGCCUGUUCUCUAGUGUCAGGAAGCUCUCAGACAAAUAUUGUGUUCUAUAAAGCUAAAGAUUGUCAGAUGUACUUCUUCUACAAGCUGUAGAGCCAUGAACAUCUUCUUUCCUGUAGAUUGGAGGUAUUGCAAAGGACUGAAUUGAAGAGAACUCAUGCUCAUUUAUUAUGAUUGGUGGUUUGCUAUUGACAUCCAUAUGAGGAAGAUGAAAAGUAAUAAGAUGCUGGGGAUGAUAUUGUAGAUCUACAUGUGUCUCAAAGUAUUUAUUGGAUGGGUUCUGUUUGAUCGACUGCAUAGUCUCUGUAGAGUAGCAAUUUUUAUUGCCUUUGUUCAGAGAUUCUCUGGGGCUAACAAUGAAAUGUUAAUUAUCUUUACACUUACAAUAUAAGGUGAAUUGUUAUUAUUAUUAUUUUUUUAAAGUUCCUUCUACUAUAUUAUGGAGAUUAGCAUCAAAUAUUGACUUGUUUAACAGUAUAGUGAUCUGGUUUUUAUAUAUAUAAUAAAAUACAAAAAGUUAAAGAUCGACGAUUAAUACUAAUCAGCAAUGAAUACAAAAUUUGUUGCUCACACUAUUUGCAAUACUAGAACUUAUUUUAAGCUACUCCUUAUUUACUUCUAUUGUUUAGUUACCACUCUGACUGAAACUGUCUGAAAUCAUGAUUAAUUGUUUCUCUUCCUCUAGAUCGACCAGCAAAGAGUAGCAGUCAAACGAUCCCAAUCCAUCCUUUUGCUUGUAAGAAUCCGACACUUGCCAUUUUGAACGAUAAAAGAAGUCUGAAUUAAUUAAAAAAUGUUUGCAACUGUCAUUGCCUUAUCAUAUAUUGUGCAUAGCAAUCUCCUCAUCUUUUUCUAGUAGGCUUGUGAUUUUACUUCUCAGUUUAAUACUAUGGAGGCUAGCAAUCUUUGCCGUUGCAAAUUUUUUCAAGUCCAUUCUUCUAAUGCCAACUCAAUUUUCAGUUCUUGCAUGACCCUAACAGCAUACAUGAGGCCCUUACCUUAUUGAAGCCUCCUAUGCACUGUGUUGCGUAUGGCCAAAUGAUCUAAACAAUUAUAUUUCUCAAAUUGGUAUUUCUGUGUCAUUACACACACACACGCACGCACGCACGCACGCACACACCAGUGCUACAGAACAGGUUUAUAAUUUUUUUUCUCUCAAUAUUUAUUUAAUCAUUCUAUGCAUUUGCUCUCGAUAUAUUGUCCCCAAUCUGAGGUGGAUGAAAUUGGUGGUGCUUCAAGUGUUCGGUCAUGCCACUGGAGCUCGAGAAAAUUUCUAUAUCAAAGCAUAAAUAGUGGAGAUUUUUAUUUUAAAAUGGUCUGCUAUAAUAUAAAUAAUGAUCAUUAUUUUUACAUGAACUUUUUUUCAAUAAAAUAUCAAUUUUUAAAAUCUUAAAUUUUUUAAUCAAAGUACCUAAGAUAAUUGUAGAGUCCAAAAAUAGUGUUAUUGUACAUUUAUAAAAGCCAUCACAGUAGUGAUUACUUAAUAUAAAAAUUUGAAAUGCUACUUUUUACAAAAAAAAAAGGCACUGGGAGGGGGGUGUAAAUUUGAAUGACAUCGCCGAAAAAAACUAAAGACCGAACUGAAUAGGAUGAGGAAAUGGGAAGAAAAUAUUCCCUUCCCACUUUUGUUAUAGAAUUAUAGAUAAAAUUAUAUGUUUCAAAUAAAUAAAAAAUUAAUCAUAGUUGUCUAUGUGUUGCAUGUGUCAAGAUCUUGCUUGAUAUAUCAAUCUGCUCCAAAUAAAAAUGUUUUAAGAUGAACUAUUUCUAGUAAUCAACUUGGUCAUGCUAAUAGAAACCCAACGUGAUUUAUUUAGGCCCAGAGGAAGGCUUCAGAAACUUCUUUAAUAGGCAGGGUUGCUAAUAACAGAGCUAAUCAUGUUUGGCCAACAAAGAUCUAUCCAUUAUCCAAUGAGAAAGUCUUUGUGCACCACAUGCGGUGCAAUAAAAUUGAUGUGGAGUGCGCCAUCCAAUUACCAUAUUGGAGCAUGUAGCCACCACUUUCUAACAUGCAUUUAAUAGUGUACUUAAUGCCUGCAGUUCUGCUUUUUGUUUAAAAUUGUGAAUAGCAAAAAUACCUUUUCUAUUCUGAAAGUUAUGACAUCCUGUGGCCAUAUUAUGACAUCCUACACUCAAAUUAUAACUUUUUGUAUACAAAAAGUUAUAAUUUUUUUUCAGAAGUCAUAAAGAGUGAAGAGCAUUUUCAUUAUUGAAAAUUUAUAAAAUUUUUAAAUGAUGAAAAUGCCCCUCCCUUCCUUAUGAUAUCUUGUGGCCAAAUUAUGAAUAGAAAGUCAUAAUUUAAUUGCAGAAUCUCAUAAUAUGGCUACAGGAUAUCAUAAUUUUUUCAAAAGAAGAAAGAUAUUUUUGUCAUUCAAAGUUUCAAAUGAAAAAGUGAAACUACAGGCAUUAAAUGCGCAUUGAAAAGUGGUAGCUACAUGAUCCAAUUAGAUGGGGCGGUGUAUUUUUUCUAUACUACGGUGUACAAAGAAUUACUCUUGUCCAACAGAGAGUCCAUCCUUUACCUAUAUGAAGUUUGAUAAGAUUAUUUUUGCAUGCUCCUUGUGAUGACUCUAAACCAUUUCCUUAGCGCAUACACAAAACCCAAAGCAAUGUUCUACCCUCAAACCUGGGCUUUUUGAUGCCAAAACCACUCAAAACAGUAUGAUACUCUUACCAUUCCAAGUUAUCUCAGCACUAAGACAGACAGAAUUCUGUUUGUUGUACCGGAAACUAUUUUGCUUGGUUCCCAACUUGGUGAGAUCUUAAGUAGGACCUCAAGGAACAAUGAAGUUGAACCUAAAGUGUCAACACUUAUAAAAGAGGCCAAGUUGAAAGAAACUAAUGGACCUUACUGGAGGAUGAGCUCCCGGUUUUGACCGGUCCCUAAUGUAAACAUCAAUGCCGAGCCCACUGUAUUCAGAAGCUCAUGUAUUAAAAACUUCAUCACUCUUUGCAUCCAUUUAGUCCCAGUAAUUGGAUGGAAAGUAGAAGUUAGUGUUCUUUUUGUCGAUCACAAAACAACCUGAUUUUGAUAGGUUUAUGAAGAAAUCUAAUCAGAAAAUGGUCUCACUAUCUAACUUUGUUCUCUUCAUAGUCUUAUUCCUAUUGAGUAUUUCUAUAAUGCCCUUGGAAUUUUACUAUAUUCAAAUGAUAUUACAAGAAUUCUGAGGAUUCAAAUUGCAUUGAUUGCAGAGAAGCGAGGGAGGAUCGUUUCAAGCAACUGACGUGCUUAACGAGAGAUGGAUGUGUGGAUGAGACAAUGACCAUACUAGGGUGGUAAGAUCACCAGUCUCCUUUCUUUCAAUCCUAAACUUCUACUCUUGACACCUAGAUUAGAAAGAAGAUAAAGGCUUUGAUAGUAAAGUCGCAGAGAAUGAGGUAUCUAUAUCAUCCAUCCUAUUUAUUGCUACUGGUUAAGUUAUUGCUCAGCUUGGUCAUGCUAGUAUCCUAAUAGAUGCUAUGAAACAAGAUGCUGAAGGAAAAAUAGCUUCUGUAUCUCUUCACCAUAAGCUUCAUAUAAACAUAUUUGCACUGCCUUACUCAUAUAGAUCUUUCUCUCUCUCUCUCUCUCUCUCUUCUGUCCUUCUUUGCAAGCACGUCAUCAUCUUUGUUUUUCCCAACAUAUGUUACAUCACGAUGGUAAAGUAAUACAUAACUUACAAAAAAGAAGCCUUGACUUUGAUAAUGUCAUCUGGUUUUUUUGGGGAAAAAGACUCUCAUACAGUUCUUCUUCAGUGUCGUUUGGUUGCUGGUUCUGUUGAGGCUACAUGGGCAUUGAAAACAGCUGGAUAUUGUAUAACUUUUGGAGGAUGUCUUUUGAUAGUUCUUGCUUUUCAGACGAUUACAUUUUCUCAUGUCUUUUAUAUUUGCAGUGCAUACACAUCUUUUGACCCAUGACCUCACCGAAAAAAGAUGUUGAUGUGCAUUUAGUCCCAUAUAGAAUAUAUGAGGAGAUCUUAGAUAUUUAUGCAAGACCAUGAAUUCUAAAUAAUAGUAUUUGACUAGCCAUUUUGGAUGAGAUUUGUGUUGUCAAAAUGACAUAACAAUCCCUGCAGAUGGGUUGAUAAAUCUGAAAGUGAUUAUAAUAGAAUUUGUGAUUACCAAAAUUGUUAAUCAAGUCGGUGACCAGUUUUUGGGCUUUUAGAAUUUUUCAAAGUGAAAGGGGGCCAUGAAGCACUGAAAUGUAGAUUUUCUUUUCUCUACUUCUAAAAUGGCACGUCUGUUUUUUUUUUCUUCUUCUUCUUCUUCUUCUUCUUCUUUUCAAAGAAGAAUCUAACAGGAGCUGAUGCAAUUAGGAUAAUGUGGGUAGAACUGAAGAAGUUUUUUCAUAUUUUACAUCAAGUAAUAGAGAUUGGCUUUUUUUGAAAAAUCUCGUUCCUCCUUUUGCUUUGGCAGUCUGGAUCUACCUUUGGAGCAUGCACUCCUUCAUGAUGGAGGGUGCUAACUACUCCUUAACAUGAAAGGAGAAAGCUCAGAUUGCAAAACAACCUCUUCAUAACAAAUUAUUUAUAGCAUAUAAUGCUAAUCGUUCAAACAUUUCCAUUUUGUUUCUCUUCCAUCACUCUUCUCGUUGUUUCAGAAAAAAAGACCAGUUCAGGCAGCGAGUGUCAUUGAUCAAUCAUGAAGUGUCUAAGAUGCACAAGAUGCCCCCAUAUGAAAAGCAAC